rnacentral:rRNA from 1 species
UACGAAGGGGGCUAGCGUUGUUCGGAAUCACUGGGCGUAAAGCGCACGUAGGCGGCUGUGCCAGUCAGGGGUGAAAUCCCGGAGCUCAACUCCGGAACUGCCUCUGAUACAGCACGUCUUGAGUUCGAGAGAGGUGGGUGGAAUUCCUAGUGUAGAGGUGAAAUUCGUAGAUAUUAGGAAGAACACCGGUGGCGAAGGCGGCCCACUGGCUCGAUACUGACGCUGAGGUGCGAAAGCGUGGGGAGCAAACAGG